AUCGUAGUGGAAGAGAAGAGAGGGAGAAACAGGAGUUCCUUUCAGCUUCAUCUCUUAGAGUAUCAUGGCUGACGAGGAACAGCAGUUCCUCCCAUAUGUACAAGAGACGGUAUUGAAGAAAAG